UACGGAGGUGGCAAGCGUUGCUCGGAAUCACUGGGCGUAAAGGGCGCGUAGGCGGGGAGGUAAGUCGGGUGUGAAAUCCCUCGGCCCAACCGAGGAACUGCGCCCGAGACUGCUUCUCUUGAGUCCCGGAGAGGAAGGUGGAAUUCCCGGUGUAGCGGUGAAAUGUGUAGAGAUCGGGAGGAACACCGGUGGCGAAGGCGGCCUUCUGGACGGUGACUGACGCUGAGGCGCGAAAGCGUGGGGAGCAAAACGGG
rnacentral:rRNA from 1 species